rnacentral:rRNA from 1 species
CGGCACGGGUGAGUAACACGUAUCCAACCUGCCGUCUACUCUUGGCCAGCCUUCUGAAAGGAAGAUUAAUCCAGGGUGGCAUCAUGAGUUCACAUGUCCGCAUGAUUAAAGGUAUUUUCCGGUAGACGAUGGGGAUGCGUUCCAUUAGAUAGUAGGCGGGGUAACGGCCCACCUAGUCAACGAUGGAUAGGGGUUCUGAGAGGAAGGUCCCCCACAUUGGAACUGAGACACGGUCCAA